CUCAGAAUGAACGCUGGCGGCGUGCUCAACACAUGCAAGUCGAACGAGAAAGCCGAAAGCUUGCUUUUGGCGAGUAGAGUGGCGCACGGGUGAGUAACGCGUGGGUAAUCUGCCUUCGAACCGGGGAUAACACUUCGAAAGGGGUGCUAAUACCGGAUGACAUCCAGGUGUCUUCGGGCGCCUGGAUCAAAGAUGGCCCCUCCAUGGAAGCUGUUGUUCGAAGAUGAGCCCGCGUCCCAUUAGCUUGUUGGUGGGGUAAAGGCCCACCAAGGCGACGAUGGGUAGCUGGUCUGAGAGGAUGAUCAGCCACACUGGCACUGACACACGGGCCAGACUCCUACGGGAGGCAGCAGUGAGGAAUUUUGCGCAAUGGGGGUAACCCUGACGCAGCAACGCCGCGUGAGUGAAGAAGGCCUUCGGGUCGUAAAGCUCUGUCGAGUGGGAAGAACCCGCAUCAGGUGACAAGGCCGAUGCGCUGACGGUACCACUGGAGGAAGCACCGGCUAACUCCGUGCCAGCAGCCGCGGUAAUACGGAGGGUGCAAGCGUUAUUCGGAAUUACUGGGCGUAAAGGGCGCGCAGGCGGCCUGGUAAGUCAGUAGUGAAAGCCCGGGGCUCAACCCCGGAAGUGCUGCUGAAACUGUUGGGCUUGAGUAUGGUAGAGGGAAGCGGAAUUCCUGGUGUAGCGGUGAAAUGCGUAGAUCUCAGGAGGAACACCGGUGGCGAAGGCGGCUUCCUGGACCAAUACUGACGCUGAGGCGCGAAGGCGUGGGUAGCAAACAGGAUUAGAUACCCUGGUAGUCCACGCAGUANACGGUGAUCACUAGGUGUUGCGGGUAUUGAUACUUGCAGUGCCGGAGCUAACGCAUUAAGUGAUCCGCCUGGGGAGUACGGCCGCCAGGCUUAAACUUCAAGGAAUUGACGGGUGCCCGCACAAGCGGUGGAGCAUGUGCUUUCAUUCGACGCAACGCGAAG
rnacentral:rRNA from 1 species